rnacentral:rRNA from 1 species
UACGGAGGGGGCGAGCGUUAUUCGGAAUUAUUGGGCGUAAAGGGCGCGUAGGCGGCCCGGUAAGUCAAAGGUGAAAUCCCUCGGCUCAACUGAGGAACUGCCUUUGAAACUGUCGGGCUUGAGGCCGGGAGGGGGUAGCGGAAUUCCCAGUGUAGCGGUGAAAUGCGUAGAUACUGGGAGGAACACCAGUGGCGAAGGCGGCUACCUGGACCGGUUCUGACGCUGAGGUGCGAAAGCGUGGGGAGCAAACAGG